rnacentral:lncRNA from 1 species
CGUGUACCGCCCAGUUUUCUGGAUCUCAGGUCUUUGAAUGCCAUGUACUUACGUCUUCAAUCAAUGUAUUGGGUAUUCCUCAGAUGUGUCAUUUUUAUUUAUUUAUUUAUUUCCUUUCGGGAUUUCCAUUUCGAUAUCUACACGAAUCCGACACGCAUGAAAGGCUAGAACCUUGGUACGCACAAAAGUGGCCGGAGAGUAUUUUACCUUGUGAUCAGGAAUGGUUGCUCUGAAAUUUGUCCUCGGUUUCUCCGUCCUCAUAGGAAUGUUCCAUGUGCCAGAAAGUAAUACCACCAGAAUGGAUCCAUCCAAAUAUACACGAAGAAAACCAGAUUAUCGAAGCAGCUGAAUUGUCAAAGAAUGCCAUGAACCCGCAAUGGUGAGCCAGUUUCGUACCAACGCAGAUCCCCCGUCGUCUGUUAUUCUGGCACAACAAUUCAAUUGGUAAUAGUUACUGCACUAGAUGCUAUCUACAAUCCCACUCCUGCUCUACCCCAUUUAUCUGUGUUGUAUACAACAACCUAAUCAGGCGUGGCUUAAAUGAGAACAACACAUGAGCAGUGACGAGUGUUCUAAGCUUCAGAAAACCAUAUUCUGGAACUUCGAGCCCUUAAAAUCCUAAACCCUAAAUUGUGGUCAAUGCUCAUAAUUUGUCUACAGCAACAGCAGCAGUGACCGUGACGAAACCAAACCAAAAGAUAUCAGACUUAAUUCUAGCAUCAGAUCUUCUAAUACACCACCUAUAUUGAAUUGACACAGUUUUCGAACGCCAACGGGGCAUGAACAAUGAAACGGAAGAAGCUUACCCACGCUUGCAGCCCGUGAACGCAAAAUAUUUCGUCGCAUCUACGCAUGUGACCCACAGGACACUACGUGUAAAAUGGUUAAGCAGGCCCCACGAUUUUUUUUCCCUUUGUUUGGUAGUAAUACCAAUGGAAUGUCUGAAUCACAAGAGAUGAGUAGUUUGAAGAAAGUAAUCAACAUGUGGGGGAAUCAACCAACUGAUGCCAUAAAAGAAGACAAAUCCGCGGCGUCACAAAACCCAACUCUAUUCACGAUUAGCACAACCCAGCUUCUCCCUUCCAUCCUCUCCGUUUCAAAACCCACACUACAUUUGCACUGUGAGACACUGUAAACAAGCAAAACUAACGAAAUUGCAGCAACCUAAGUGGGAAAUUUUUGGACGAGCUUCAGUGUCAAUCAGGGGUCUUUGACCGGG